rnacentral:rRNA from 1 species
AGUGUUCAAUAGAACUGUGGUAGGUGAGUAAUGUCCCCUACUAGAAAGGAGAGGGCAAGGCUGGUGCCAGCCGCCGCGGUAAAACCAGCUCUUCAAGUGGUCGGGAUAAUUAUUGGGCUUAAAGUGUCCGUAGCCGGUUUAGUAAGUUCCUGGUAAAAUCGGGUAGCUUAACUAUCUGCAUGCUAGGAAUACUGCUAUACUAGAGGGCGGGAGAGGUCUGAGGUACUACAGGGGUAGGGGUGAAAUCUUAUAAUCCUUGUAGGACCACCAGUGGCGAAGGCGUCAGACUGGAACGCGCCUGACGGUGAGGGACGAAAGCCAGGGGAGCGAACCGGAUUAGAUACCCGGGUAGUCCUGGCCGUAAACGAUGCAUACUAGGUGAUGGUACGGCCAUGAGCCAUAUCAGUGCCGUAGGGAAACCGUUAAGUGU